AACGAACGCUGGCGGCAGGCCUAACACAUGCAAGUCGAGCGCGCCCUUCGGGGUGAGCGGCGGACGGGUGAGUAACGCGUGGGAACGUGCCCUUUUCUACGGAAUAGCCUUGGGAAACUGAGAGUAAUACCGUAUACGCCCUUUGGGGGAAAGAUUUAUCGGAAAAGGAUCGGCCCGCGUUGGAUUAGGUAGUUGGUGGGGUAAUGGCCUACCAAGCCGACGAUCCAUAGCUGGUUUGAGAGGAUGAUCAGCCACACUGGGACUGAGACACGGCCCAGACUCCUACGGGAGGCAGCAGUGGGGAAUCUUAGACAAUGGGGGCAACCCUGAUCUAGCCAUGCCGCGUGAGUGAUGAAGGCCUUAGGGUUGUAAAGCUCUUUCAGCUGGGAAGAUAAUGACGGUACCAGCAGAAGAAGCCCCGGCUAACUCCGUG
rnacentral:rRNA from 1 species